UUCCCAUAUGAUCAUUGAAGUUAAGAAAUGUAUAGCCUGGUUAGUAUCUAGAUGGGUGACCACUUGGGAAUACCAGGUGCUGUAGG